rnacentral:rRNA from 1 species
UACGUAGAGUGCAAGCGUUGUCCGGAAUUAUUGGGCGUAAAGAGCUCGUAGGCGGUCUGUCGCGUCUGCUGUGAAAACUCAGGGCUUAACCCUGAGCUUGCAGUGGGUACGGGCAGACUAGAGUGCGGUAGGGGAGACUGGAAUUCCUGGUGUAGCGGUGAAAUGCGCAGAUAUCAGGAAGAACACCCGUGGCGAAAGCGGCUCUCUGGAACGGUACUGACGCUGAGACGCGAAAGCCAGGGGAGCAAACGGG